rnacentral:lncRNA from 10 species
UCGCGCCUCUCCCUCCACACCUCCCUGCAAGCUGAGGGAGCCAGCUCCGGCCUUGGCCAGCCCAGAAACGGGCUCCCACAGUGCAGCGGUAGGCUGAACGGCUCCUCAGGUGCCACCAAAGUGGGAGCCCAGGCAGAGGAGGCGCCGAGAGCGAGCGAAGGCUGUGAGGAUUGCUAGCACGCUGUCACUUCUCACUAUAACAGCAGGUUGACUAUGCUGUGCAUAAGUGUGGUUUGCUGUAUUUUGCUUGGAAUUUCU